UACGAAGGGGGCUAGCGUUUUUCGGAAUUACUGGGCGUAAAGCGCACGUAGGCGGACUGAUAAGUCAGGGGUGAAAUCCCGGGGCUCAACCCCGGAACUGCCUUUGAUACUGUCAGUCUCGAGUUCGAGAGAGGUGAGUGGACUUCCGAGUGUAGAGGUGAAAUUCGUAGAUAUUCGGAGGAACACCAGUGGCGAAGGCGGCUCACUGGCUCGAUACUGACGCUGAGGUGCGAAUGCGUGGGGAGCAAACAGG
rnacentral:rRNA from 1 species